rnacentral:rRNA from 1 species
UACGAAGGGUGCAAGCGUUAUUCGGAAUUACUGGGCGUAAAGGGUGCGUAGGCGGUUCGUUAAGUCUGUCGUGAAAUCCCCGGGCUCAACCUGGGAAUGGCGAUGGAUACUGGCGAGCUAGAGUGUGUCAGAGGAUGGUGGAAUUCCCGGUGUAGCGGUGAAAUGCGUAGAGAUCGGGAGGAACAUCAGUGGCGAAGGCGGCCAUCUGGGACAACACUGACGCUGAAGCACGAAAGCGUGGGGAGCAAACAGG